CUUCGUGAAAAACCACCCAGGCUUGGCUGAUAGUGAGGUGGCUAAAAUUUGUUUAAUCGCCCGAUCGCUCGGCAAGGGUCUGUGUCUUAGCUGGACUUAUUUUUCGUUUAUAUGGGCCGAUGAUGCUGGUCGAUGUGGAAAAAAUAACUGAGUUGUUUGGUGGUGGAGCUACAACAGAGGGCAGCUAUCCACCUGUGUGUGACAGAAAGGACAUGCCGCCAACGAGACAUACGAGGCCGGGCAGGCGAUUGCUAACGCGGUGGUCAAUCAUGGAUCAGGGAAAGCGAAGGCAGGAGGGUGAGGUGAACUGAAUUUCAGCAUUGUCUACGUUACUGGACCUGGUGAUGGGUGUCUAGAAAACACUUGUUUGUUACCAGGGGGCAAGCAAAGGAAAGGAGGAAAGCAAAGAGGACAGAAGUAAAUAUAGCCAUUGACAUGCCGAAGAGGUUAACACUGAGGAGCGGAUCGAAAUUGUGUUGAUAUCUGGUGAAUGCAGUAACCGGGUCAUUGCAGCAGAUUUCAAUGCAAGACACCCUACGAGACCACCCAUCUCCCAUGCUACAGUUAGCAAACUGCUUGCUAAGUUUCAUGAAACUGGUUCAGUGUUGGAUUUGCCAAAAUGUGGACACAAGAAAACUGUCACUAAUGAAGAAACAUCAGUGGCUGUCCUAGCUUCAUUCAGCAAGAGCCCUCAGCGUAGCACUCGCCGCAUGUCACUGGAGAGUGCCAUUAGUCGAACAUCCCUUCGGCGGAUAUUAGCUACUCACAAAUGGUACCCUUACAAACUCCAGCUACUGCAGCAUCUCAAUGAGGAUGACCCAGAUCGGUGCACAGAAUUUGCAGAAUGGGCAAAACAAAAAUUGGAACAGGACCCUCAGUUCAUGCAGAAGAUUUUGUUCAGUGAUGAAAGGCAAAUUUUUAUGUCAAUGGUGAAGUUAACAAACAAAACCACCGCUACUGGUCUGAUACU
ensembl:lncRNA